ensembl:lncRNA
CUUGGAUAUAAUAUCAGCAUAGCUGUUAGCUACAAAUUCAAGUAUAAGCUAUCUAAUGCAAAAACUAACAAGUAAAAGACGUUUAAACAAAAUGUUUUGUUUGUCACCUUUUGUCUGUCACUUUAAACGGAUCCACUGACUAAAAACAAAUGUUAAAAACGAUGAAGACCACAUUUAACGUCUAGUUUAGUGUCUCUGCUGACAAAGUGAGUUUAUCUGCAUGUGAAAAGUCAACACAUUGUGUUUUACUCAGACCCACUCCAGUAUUUUGGUAGCCAAGCUGCAUCUAAUUGCAUUAAUUGCGCAUAUCCUCUUGCUCUUGUUUGAACACCUGCUCUGAACGAUUUUUUUUUCUUGCUUGUGAAGUACAGACCGCGACAUGCACCGAACCAUUUGGGCUGCCAUUUCUGGAAGUGUUUUUCCAUGUAAAUGUGUCAUCACGACGCUCACAGACAACCUGUCACCUCCGCCUGCUCGCGCGCAUUCACAGCGACCGCACGUGAUCGAUGAGUUCUGAGACGCAGCCACGCGCCAAUAAAACAGCGAGUAAUUAUCGAUAAUUUCGCUGUUUGUUAACUACUAUUAAGCUUUUCUGCGAGUGUUUGUCAGUUUACAGGUUGGGAGGCUUGUUUAGAUCGGUUUAAUCAAGCUGUAUCGGUGUAUUAAAGAUUUUUAGUUAAUAUUUCUGUGUACGUGAGACCGGGAAAUGUAAUAAGUCUUUGUUGACAGGUCUGUAACUUUUUGCUACUUGUCUGAAACUUUGAUGGAAUAUUACAUUUAUAUGCUUAAAAUGACUCUACUAUUGAUAUUUACAAAGUAUCCCUAAAUAACGCCAAACCCAACAACCACAUUAACCAUGGUUUUAUUGUAGUAAAAGUGUAGACCUCAUGUUUUUUUUGUUUUUGUUUUUGGCGUUGAUUACCAUUUGUAUAACCACAAUUUUACUACAAAAACAUGGUUAAACUAUGGUUAAUUUGUGGUUACCAUGGUUUAACUAUAGUAACCAUGGUCUUUGGUUUUGUUUGUAGUAAAACCAUGGUUAAAUUUCAUAAGGGAAGGGUGCUGUUGUUACAACCUUCCUCACUGUCCACUGUUACACUAACAUAAAACAUUAAUGUGUACGAUAUUUUUAUUCAUUUUAAUUCAGAAAGCAAACAAAAUUUGAAACAAAUAUAUAAAAACACAUUAAAUGCAGUCAAACAAAUUGUAUGUAAUGUUUCUCAUUUCAUGGAUCCAGUUUAAGUGUUAAAAAGUGCUGAAAGUGUUACAACCCUUCAUGUCUGCUCUGCCAUGAUAUUUCUAGUUUUCAAAAUGUAGAUGAAAAGCUUAAAUUGAUUCUGUAUAUCAAACCAAUGUUUCUUACCUCUUCUUUUUUUUUUCUUUUUCUGAAGUAAAAAAAUAUAAAAGGUCACUUACAGCUGUCACCUUAGAAGGGUGGUGGUCAAUGUAAGAUUCUCCUCUGUAGCUCAUUUCUAAUUGGCUAAACUGAUGGUCUUACAACUCCCCGGUCUCUCCUACACACAAUGUAUGUCUGUAAAUCAGAUAGGACCACAAGGUUGACCAACCAUAAUUACAUACAGCAUACCUAAUUUAAUUUCCUGAUAGAUAACACCGUUUAUUUAUUAGAUUUGUAAUGAAAAGUGGUUAUCAGUAUUGCACAGAACAUCUCAGAGUGAGAUUUAUCUGUGCAUCAUCGAGAGACAACAGUGGAAUAAUUUUUAAGAGUCUCACAAUAUGAACGCGUCAGGAUCUAACAGGUGGUUCAGAACAUCUGUUCAAUGCCUCAGAGGUUUGUCACUAAGCCGCACGCAAGAAAUAAUUAAUUCUGACUAGAUUAACCAGCCUACAGCUCAGUCUAAUUUAUGUUCAUCUAGAAAAAAAAAGCUUUAUUAUUUUUUCUCCAUUAUGUGCACAACAGCAUCUUUGUUUCCACCAAUUUAAAUAAUAAUUUAAACUCGAUGAAUUUCUUCAUCACCAAAAGGUGAAUUAAAUUCACUACUGCACAUUGCAACUUGCAACAAAUAAAAUUUGGUUUUAAAUUUAAGUGCACUAAAUAGUGCCUUGAUCUAUAUACACUCACAGUAAUAUACAUUCAGAAACCAAAAGCUAUUAGGAGGAAUUCUUGGGGGUCAAAACUGCAAUUUUCUAAGGGAGGCUUUAACUUUAGUGCAACUACUUCCGAAUAAAUCAUUUAUUUGCUAAAUUGUCCCAGGGGCUGAUCCCGUGCUGUUGGAAAUGAUUGCCAUUGACUCCCUUGUUCUGUGCAGUGACACUGGGAGCUGUCCAGCACUGUGGUGCUGAAAUUGAUUGAAGCGCAGACGCCUAGCACAUAUCCGGCGGAAGCUAAUUAUAUGCACCCUUUUCCUCACACACACACAUAUAUAAUUUUUUUUUUUUUUUGUGAGUGGGCAUUGAGCACGUUGUUUUCGAUGUUUUCAAGAGUUCAUCCACCUCCUUGAUGGGUUUUUUUUUUUCACCUUUUUUACAUUCCGCUUGUGGAAAACGGGCACUUUUGCAAAGCAUAUUAUUUUAACAAUUAUUUUCCCUUGUAAAUGCAUAUACACAAUAAACUCUUACCUCUAACCUAAUUGAUGCUUUUAGUGUUUUAAGGGGUCAAAUUUAAAAUUAAAAAAUUUAAUUCUGAUAUCAUUUGCUCGCCCUCAUGUCGUUCAAAAUCUAUUUUUGCUUUUUUCUAUGAAGUAGAACAGAGCAGCUUUAGUCAGUAUUCAGUGGAGCAAGAUGCAAUGAAAACAAAUGGUGACUGAGGCUGUCAGUCCCUAACAUCAUCUUUUGUCUUCCACAUUCAGUUUGGAAUGACAUGAGGAAAGAUAUGAAAUGAAGAAUAUCUUACGUGUCUUUGCUGAUGCGCUUCGGAGGAUGCUUCGCUGGAGAUGACAGCCCGUCUUCUUCUCGCCAUGUGCUGUAACAAAAGCAUCCCAUGCAUCCGAAGCCUG